CCUGGGAACUGCGUUNUGAACUGGGUAGCUAGAGUAUGUCAGAGGGGGGUAGAAUUCCACGUGUAGCAGUGAAAUGCGUAGAGAUGUGGAGGAAUACCGAUGGCGAAGGCAGCCCCCUGGGAUAAUACUGACGUUCAUGCUCGAAAGCGUGGGUAGCAAACAGGAUUAGAUACCCUGGUAGUCCACGCCCUAAACGAUGUCGAUUAGCUGUUGGGCAACUUGAUUGCUUAGUAGCGUAGCUAACGCGUGAAAUCGACCGCCUGGGGAGUACGGUCGCAAGAUAAAAACUCAAAGGAAUUGACGGGGACCCGCACAAGCGGUGGAUGAUGUGGAUUAAUUCGAUGCAACGCGAAGAACCUUACCUGGUCUUGACAUGUACGGAAGAACUCAGAGACGAGUUUGUGCCUUCGGGAACCGUAACACAGGUGCUGCAUGGCUGUCGUCAGCUCGUGUCGUGAGAUGUUGGGUUAAGUCCCGCAACGAGCGCAACCCUUGUCAUUAGUUGCCAUCAUUUAGUUGGGCACUCUAAUGAGACCGCCGGUGACAAACCGGAGGAAGGUGGGGAUGACGUCAAGUCCUCAUGGCCCUUAUGACCAGGGCUUCACACGUCAUACAAUGGUCGGUACAGAGGGUAGCCAAGCCGCGAGGUGGAGCCAAUCCCAGAAAACCGAUCGUAGUCCGGCUUGCACUCUGCAACUCGAGUGCAUGAAGUCG
rnacentral:rRNA from 1 species